UAGCAAGGGGCAUGGUCAAAGGGGCUGACGGCGCCAGAAAUGGGGAUGGGGUGUGGAAACCUGCCAAAAACUGUUAGGUGAUGAAAGCUAUCAAAUGGUUAACUACUCUGUAACGGGCCGGUGUGGCUCCCCUCCUCCCUGGGAGGGUUGAGCCCCGGACACCGGAAGGAGCGGGGCUACAGAACAGUGAGCCCGCCCCUCAGAGGGUCAGGCGGUGACCCAGAAGUAUAAAAGCCGGCCAUCCGAGCUCAGUCAGAGCCCAGCCACCGCCGGGAGCAAACCUGCCCGAGGGAGCUCGUGACUGGGAAGACACGAGCAGUUGCCCGGACUGGCCGGAGCUUCCCCUCACUCGCUACCGGGAGGACCCGCCGGAGCUUCCCCGUGCCACCUACGAUGAGAAGCCACCAGAGACUUCCCCUCUCCGCUGUUGUUACCCCGAGGAACCCCCGGAGCAGCACUGGCCGGACUUCCCAGAGGAACUGCCGGAUCUACCCCCCACCCGGGCUGCGAGGAGCCCAUGCUGUGGGACUUCCCGGGAGUGGACGCCGCGGACCAGAACACAGACCGCUCCACUGGAUCCCACAACCCAUACAGGGAGAAAGCCGUAGAAAAUGCUGACAUCUCCAAAAUCAUAUCAGGGCAAGAAAAGGCACUUGCUGUUUGCAACACUUGUACAGGACAGACACAGGGUGAGGGCUAGACUAAGUGGCCAUGGUUAGUCCUGCUCCAUCUCUACCGUCUCAGUUUCCAUCUACAGCUGUUCACACUCAAAAUGCAGGACAGGGAACCUGGCUAUGCCACUGCCUUAGUCAGCCCUGCCGCUGCAGCACACAUGGUAGCAGAUGAGACAGAAUGAGUCCCAGCUCCAGGAGGGUACCACAGCCAGUGCUGCGAAGGGAGCUGCAUGGCCUGUACGGCUGGGAGAGGACAAGGGUGGUCAUGGGGGAGAAGAGAGCCUGGCAGAGACAAAAUACUGCAAAUUAUGCAGAAACAGGGCUGAGCAAAAUUGUCUCCAGUGUCC